rnacentral:rRNA from 1 species
GGCGGACGGGUGAGUAACGCGUGAACAAUCUGCCCUGUACAAAGGAAUAGCCUCGGGAAACCGGGAUUAAAACCGUAUGACACUUUAAUACCGCAUGGUAUAGAAGUCAAAUAUUAAUAGGUAUGGGAUGAGUUCGCGUCUGAUUAGCUGGUUGGUAAGGUAACGGCUUACCAAGGCGACGAUCAGUAGCCGGCCUGAGAGGGUGAACGGCCACACUGGAACUGAGACACGGUCCAGACUCCUACGGGAGGCAGCAGUGGGGAAUAUUGCACAAUGGAGGGAACUCUGAUGCAGCGACGCCGCGUGAGUGAAGAAGGUCUUCGGAUCGUAAAACUCUGUCCUUGGUGAAGAAAAGGACGGUAGCCAAGGAGGAAGCCCCGGCUAACUACGUGCCAGCAGCCGCGGUAAUACGUAGGGGGCGAGCGUUGUCCGGAUUUACUGGGCGUAAAGGGUGAGUAGGCGGUUAUAUAUGUCAGGUGUAAAAGGCUAUGGCUUAACCAUGGUUAGCACUUGAAACUGUAUGACUUGAGUGCAGGAGAGGUAAGCGGAAUUCCUAGUGUAGCGGUGAAAUGCGUAGAUAUUAGGAGGAACACCAGUGGCGAAGGCGGCUUACUGGACUGUAACUGACGCUGAGUCACGAAAGCGUGGGUAGCAAACAGGAUUAGAUACCCUGGUAGUCCACGCUGUAAACGAUGAGUGCUAGGUGUUGGGUAGCGAUACUCAGUGCCGGAGUCAACACAAUAAGCACUCCGCCUGGGGAGUACGUACGCAAGUAUGAAACUCAAAGGAAUUGACGGGGACCCGCACAAGCAGCGGAGCAUGUGGUUUAAUUCGAAGCAACGCGAAGAACCUUACCAAGGCUUGACAUCCCCUUGACAGGUACAGAGAUGUACAAUCAUUUUCGAAUGCAAGGGAGACAGGUGGUGCAUGGUUGUCGUCAGCUCGUGUCGUGAGAUGUUGGGUUAAGUCCCGCAACGAGCGCAACCCUUAUCCUUAGUUGCCAUCAAGUAAAGUUGGGCACUCUAAGGAGACUGCCGGUGAUAAACCGGAGGAAGGUGGGGAUGACGUCAAAUCAUCAUGCCCCUUAUGUCUUGGGCUACACACGUGCUACAAUGGUCGGUACAACGGGAAGCGAAGAAGUGAUUUGGAGCAAAUCCCAAUAAACCGAUCCCAGUUCGGAUUGCAGGCUGCAACUCGCCUGCAUGAAGUCGGAGUUGCUAGUAAUCGCGAAUCAGAACGUCGCGGUGAAUGCGUUCCCGGGUCU